rnacentral:snRNA from 1 species
GGACGUGGGGAUGAUCUGGCUGUGACAUGUCACCCCAUUGAUCACCAGGGUGGAUUCGGCUGAUCUGGCUGGUUAGACAGAUGUCCCCUUCCUCCCUCACCAUUCCAUAUGCGUCCCUCCUGAAGCUGUGGUGAAGGUUGAGGAGGAUGACCAUUCCUUAAAAAGGAGGACAAUUCUUCCGUGAAGGGUAUAGGAGUAGCUGCAUUCCCCUGCUAGAACCUCCAAACAAGCUCUCAUUCUAAAACUCAGGCAAGCCAGAAAAGGAAAGUCUAGGACUAGUAAAUCAAGCCAGGAAAUGUACUGUUCUG